AACCUACACUUUUUUCACUGUACGAAAUAUCUGCGCCCACGACGAGAUCGACAGUUUAUUGAAGCGCGAUUUGUUGAGUCAAGUGCGAAAAUAAUUACGGUGUCUAAGACACGUUUUAUCGUUAUUGCGUAUCUACGAGUAAGGAUUCUUCUGUGCUUUAAUGCCUGAGGGGCCAAUUUUCACGGCUUAGGAAUAUCGAAGCGUAAAGGCAAAUAUAUUUUACCAAAAAUUUUUCAACGACGAACGGAUCUGAAAUAAUUUCCCCUGAAAGAAAUUAAAAAAAAAUAAAUAAAAUAAAUUCAAAGCAAACGUAAAAUAAAUACAGGGAGCAGGAAUGAUCCUGUUUGGAUUAAUCAUCCUUUCAACCCUGAGCUGGGAAACUCAGGGGAUAUUCUACCACAUUCAAGAUUGCGAGAUUGAGGCAAUCGACGAAGAAUGGUUCGACGUUGAUGCAAGCUCUUGUGAGCUGGAGCUUUUGAACGAUACGUUUAACGCCCUGAAACUGGAUUUAAGUGUUAUCAAGGACUUUCCAGAGGAUACGUAUGGAGAAUUUGAUGCGUUCUUACGUAGAGCUGGAAAUUACAAAACGAGCGCAGGUAUUUACGUUAAAGAAGAUAUCUGCAGUUUUGUCAACGAGGAAGUAAUGUUAGGGGAUUUCUUUAAAACCAUUGGUAUAACCGAGAAUAAUUGCCCCCCGAAAAAGGGUAUUUUUACAAUGGAAAAAUCGUGGUACCCGUCAAGAAAAUUAUUGCCGAAGACGGUGGAUGGAAUGGAGUACAAGACGAUGUUCGCCAUUACUAUAAACGAAAAGCGUGUAUUGAUUCUCGCGGUUUACACUGACGUAGCUUCGUCGGAAUGGGAAACUGAUGACGAUGCCGACAAUUAGGUCAGAGAUCAAAGCCACGUUCUAACAAGAAAAAAUAAAAAUAUUGACUCAAAACGCUUUUAUUUGAGUAAAGAGACACUUUUUGGAUGAUUUUGAGAUGUUUUGGACAUGUUUGAGAAAUCGAGUAUUUAUUAUUUUCAUAAUUUCCCUUUUUAUCGCAAUGAGAGAAUAAUUCUACAAAAUGUAUAGCGGCUAUAGAUUUGACAGAAAAUUUUACCCCCCCCUUUUUAUACACUCGACAAUUAGUGCAUGUCGAGAAAAUCGUGAAGAACGAAAAAUCAAUAUUGUAAACCAUAGUGCGCAAAAAACCGAACGGGUUAACCAAUCGAUGAUACGUACGGUAAUGAAAGAAAAUUUUACUUCGCUCCCAAUGUGACAAAUUUAAAUAUUAUCUUGCAUCGUGUAAAAAAUUGUAGCAGAAAUUCUGUAUUUUGCAAUGAUUUCGUUUUCAUACAAUUCUGCUGUUAUUUUUACCUCAUUAAUCAAUUGUAUGAUAAUUUGUGCUUUAUUUUAUUUAUUUUUUUCAUCCGUUCGUCAUUCUGUAGUUAAUAUAUAAAUACGUGUAAGAAAUAAUAUAAAAAUAAAAAUUAAUCGAGCAUCGAACAGUCUAUGAUACAUCAUUGCAGAUUGAAGGUGAAAAAAAAAAAGAUGCAAAAUAUCUUGUAAACGAGAACGAAAUAAUGGUGAGCCGAAAUUUGGAUAAAAUUUUUUUUUUUAUAACACGCGUAAUUGCAGAACUCAUGACUUAUUCGCCAUUGGGUAUUUGUAAGCCCUGUAACGAAAUAUCCACUAUAAUAUACGAUUAAAGGGAUGACAGAGAAAGUGGCGAAGGUUUGGAGUUGGGGGGUUGGAUUUGGAGGGGUGGAGGGAUGGUUAAAACUUCCUCGAUUUGUAAUAUCGGCGUUCCUCUCUCUCUCUCUCUCUCUCUCUCUCUGUCUCUCCGUUUCUCUCACACACAUUAUUUCACAUCGAACGAACAAAUGAACAAACAAACCGUUCCGUUUCCCCAGUGGAAUUUGGCGCGGUAGUUAUCACGGAUCGUUCCAAAACGGAAGAGGAGAGAGGCAACGAGUGAGAGAAAGAGAGGGGGAGAGAGAGAGAGAGAGAGAGAGAGAGAGAGAAGGAGAAGAGCAGAAACUGUUCAGGGAUUUCUGUCCCCAGUUUCUCCCACACGAGAGGCUUACAUGGGAUUGGUAUAUAGUGCUUACACAUGCGCAUGGGAAACGUGUAAAUGUGCGCAAGUAUGCUGUAGGCACCGUAACGUAAAAUUAUUCGAAAAUACGAGCCACGAAAUCUCGAGGGGGACUUUUUGGUAGCCGAGGAACAAGAGGAUCGCCUGCAGGUUGUACACCGUUUGGCCAUUGAAAAGGAGAAUGGUGGAUAUUGGAUGAAGGGUGGAAUAUAACGAACGAAGUGAAGAGACAAGAGAUAAAGAGAAAUCUUCAACGAAUAAUGAAAAUCCGUCGCACGAUUCUCGCUCUUCUCGUUUCGCAACGUAUGUAUAUAUUAUACAUAUUAUUAUAUUAUAUAUAUUUAUAUAUAUUAUUAUUAUAUUAUAUAUAUAUAAUGCAGAGAGUACAAUUAAGCUUCCGUCCCCUCUUAAAUAUAUCAAAAGUAAGCCGGGAAGAGGGUUGAAAAGGUGUUUAAGGGGUAACACUACUCUGGAAACCUAAGAAAUGCACCAUUUUAAACAUUUUUUUUUUAAAUAUAUAUAACCGAAGAAAAGGUAAUAAGAUAAUAAUAUUUGAGAAAUUCAUUAUGAAUUUAGUUAAGUACGAUACAAAAAAAUUUUGUCUUCAGCAAAUAUUAAAAAAUGGCGACACUGGAACAACUGUAACUGGUGAAAAUUUGAAUUUGGAAACGAAAAAAAAAAGUGAAAAAUCACUCAAUCCACGUAUUAAUAGCUACAGAAAUUCGUAAGGGAUUUUUGAUAAGCUAAUUUAAACAUUAUUUAUUAACGAACAAGUUGCCUUUCUUUUGGUGAAAAAUUCAAGAUUUUCUUCCAAAUAUUCCCUAAUCGCACAAUUUUUACGAUUGCGAUGUUUUCAAAAACGUGUUCGACUCUGGAAGAAAAAGAAAAAAAAAAAAAAUUGGAACAGAACAAUCAAUUCUUUAAACAACGGCGUCAAGUUGAGUAUUAAAAAGUAACGAUAAAUCGAUCGCAGAAAAA
rnacentral:misc_RNA from 1 species